GGGAGCUUGGGGUGGGCUUCGGGAGCGCAGGGAACGGCGGGAGCCGGGAGGUGACGGCUAGCAGCGUGAGAAGGCCGCUGGCUCCUGAGAAAUCCCCCUCCUCCAGGUGGUUUUGUCCUUUUGGACCAAUUAUCUAACCUGGGCCUGGACUCCAUCUACCACUGUCCUGCCUGGUUCACUGCAGCUCACUUCAUCUUCCUGUGCCUUCUCUGAAAGGGCCCCUCCAAAAGUUUCCUGGAAACUCUCAAACAACUGAGAAGGUGCCUCGACAUCUGAUUUGCCCCAAACCUCUAUACACUGGACAUCUUCUGAAUAAGGCUGUGUUGUAUGUUGGGACAAGCAAAGGGAUGGAAAUCAAGAAUUCUGGGUUUUAGUCCUGACUGUCACUACAUGGCUGUGUUACUUCUGACUCUGUGAAGCAGAACUCGGGCCUCUAGCGUCUGCUAGUCUAGAUCUAAAGGUGUUUCCUGAGGGACAGUUUGGCCUGGCAUGCAGGUACCUCUGCAGACCACAACAGUGCACCGAAAACACCCCCUCCCAGCACGCACACAAGUCUGGCUCCUCAGCCAAACAUCAAACACCAACACUGCUGCCCAUGCCAGAUGCCAAGUGAGAUAAUGUGUGUUAUACCCUUAGUGUGUUACAAA
rnacentral:lncRNA from 1 species